AUGAUGAAAAACCUGGGCAUCACUUAGGACGAUCUCGACGACGUGGUUUUCGAAGAGCAAGAUGUUCCAGCGGAAGCGGUUGUGCAUUGGAUGGCCAUCGCAAGAGUUCACACCCCAAAGAGUUACAGCCAAUAUUGGUUCUACCGCAAUAUGAGGGCUGCCUGGGAUCUGGCGCAGGAGGUAAAGAUCCGCCCGCUUGAAGAAAACCUGUACACAAUGCAAUUUGCUUGCCUCGGCGAUUGGGAACGUGUCAUGAUGGAGGGACCUUGGACCUUCAAAGGGAACGCGGUGGUACUGGCAGAGUAUGAUGGGUUCACUAAACCAUCAGAAGUUAACUUGGACAUGCUGGAUAUAUGGGCUCAAAUCCACAACUUUCCUGAUGGUUACUUCCCGAUGAUCAAAGCUCUAGCAGGGAAGAUUGGGCAGUACAUAUACGCUGAACCGAAGUCACAUGACUUCGAAGGUAAUUUUGUCCGGGUCAGGGUCAAGAUCAAUGUCCAUCGCCCUCUAAAAAAUGCAGUCUCGAAGGUGAAAGAAGGUAAAAGGAAAAUCUUGCUGGUAAAAUACGAGCGCUUACCUGACUGGUGCGCUGUCUGUGGCCACCUUGGUCAUCAAUUCAAGGAGCAUGGCGACGGUGUUCAUCCUCCUGAGGCUCUGGUCUUUAAGAAUCUUCGGGCAUCAUGA
rnacentral:rRNA from 1 species